CACGUAGGGUGCGAGCGUUGUCCGGAAUUAUUGGGCGUAAAGAGCUCGUAGGCGGUGUGUCGCGUCGGCCGUGAAAACCUGUGGCUUAACUAUGGGCUUGCGGUCGAUACGGGCAUCACUGGAGUUCGGCAGGGGAGACUGGAAUUCCUGGUGUAGCGGUGAAAUGCGCAGAUAUCAGGAGGAACACCGGUGGCGAAGGCGGGUCUCUGGGCCGAUACUGACGCUGAGGAGCGAAAGCGUGGGGAGCAAACGGG
rnacentral:rRNA from 1 species